rnacentral:lncRNA from 1 species
GCUGGCCUUGAACUCAGAAAUUUGCCUGCCUCUGCCUCCCAAGUGCUGGGAUUAAAGGUGUGAGCCACCAUGCCCGGCUUUUUAUGGCUUUAUAUAUUAAAUAUUUCAUGGUAUUUAGGAAAUAAUGGAGGACAAUAUUGCAUCACAACACUGCAGGACUUAGCUAGGGAACAGCCUGGCAUAGCUUAGGCACAGUAGGAGUCCAACCAAGACUCCUAUGGGAAGAGUGGCACCUAGAGAGCUGAGGGAGUGGGCCAGGUGAGGGAGGAAGGCAGUGGUGAAAAGAAACGCUAUGGUCAGGAGUUUGACUCAGCUUCAAAAGGGCUGCUGAAGUUGGCAGUUUGGAGGGCAGAGAGCGCCACAUAGUUUAACUUGGCCUCAUUUUAGAGUGCUAUGGCCUCUAGGCCAGAUUUCUGGCUUUGAUAACUGCCCAUUGGCUAGGUUGUGGUUGGCACAUGAGAUGGCUUUGCUUUGUGUCUUUGACAUGAAGCUCUCGGGCUGCUGGAGUACGUGAUGACAUGCUAGACUUUUCUUAGGCGCCAGUCCGUGUCUGUCUGUCCAUCCACCAUCAUCCAGCAACUAUAAACAUCUACUCUGGGGAGUCCUGGGGGUAGGUACUCAGAAUCGAGUGUCCAUCCACCAUGGUCCAGGGCUUCCAACCAGUGACAAGUAACAUUUCCAGGUUUCUAUUUGGCUUCUGUAUUUCAAGCACAUUCUCCACUGCCACAAGUUCAAGGCCAGCUGGGGGCUGCAGACAGAGUCAAGUUUAAGGAGUGAGUGAUUGGGACUCCAUGACCUUCUCACAUGAAACCCUCAGGCUGCUGUGUUUGGUAACUUUCUGUUCUGUGGCUGUAGAAACUGAGACUUAAAAGUGAUGUGACCUUUAGCUCCAAGCUAAGGGGCUUUUCUCCUUAUGUCAAGCUAGCUCCUGCUGAUGCUGAGCGUGGCCCAAAAGGACUAAAUCCACGCUUCUCUCUCUCUGGAAGAUGUUGUUACACACGGCUUAUUGUUCUCUGUUCUCUGAGAAUGUGUGUCAUUGUUCUUUAGGGGAAGUUUUGCCCAGGAGCAAAGGUUUCAGAGUGUGAGCAGGAACCAGGUCCCUGGAAGUCAUCUUUAUGGGCCAUGUCACCCAACCACCUCACUGAUGACUUGAUUGUUCACAGGAUGAAAGAAAACUUAGUAUAAAGGAACACAGAAAGUCUUGAGACCCCUGGAGAAAGUCCUUGACCUAAAGAGUCCCGGGAGAGGAGUCAGAGCAGAGGCUUCUGGAUGGAACCAGCCCCAUCUAGCUACCAGGAGAGCUGUUUACAUGGAAUCCAAGUUGCCUGCCAGGGGCAGAGCACGUUUUUCCACAGCUGCUGAGAAAGACGAGUGAGUCAAGACAGAAUAACAAAAAGCCACUUCAAAAACACACCAGAAGAAGUACGAAGCUGAGACAAUCACAGGUUUGAAACAUCCCCUCCUCCCAAAGCCCUGACUAGAGAGUGUAAAAACAAGUCUCAAGGGAGCCUCUGGGCCCUGCAGGUUUCGAGCCUCCUCGUGGUUGCUGACUUGAGAACUGGGCCUGUCCCUGUACUUCUGAGAGGAGCCAGGAGUUGAUGUUGUGGGGGCUCAGAAACCUGAGUUCUGAGAACUGUGGGACUGAGAGGGGGACAGCCCCUAGGUUCUCAGUGUCUCUGGGAAGCUGAGUGGUGGUGGUGGUGGUGGGGCUGUGGGAAAAGGCAGGGCCAGGCUGGAUGGGCAAAGGUGUAGAGACUCCUCCUGUCUGGAAAACAGCUAUGGUAAAGAAGUGGAGUCCUGUCUUAUCUCCAGCCUCUGAGGAACUUACAGCCCCAGAAGGACAAUAGAGCCCAUUGAAGAGGAGCCUGGAGUUGGAGGUAUUGGCUCAAGUCCCUCCGACUGUCAUUCAGUUGCCAUGAGACUUUAGGUAAGUUACUAUCAAAUGAACCACAUCCCUUGCCAAAGUAGGGGCUAAGAUUUUUUUUGUUUUGGUUUGGUUUUUCGAGACAAGAGUAUCUCUGUGUAGCCUUAGCUGUGUUGGAACUCACUCUGUAAACCAGGCUGGCCUUGAACUUAGAACCCAGAGAUCUGCCUGCCCCUGCUUCCCAAGUGCUGGGAUUAAAGGCGUGUGUGAGACAGGGUCUUACAUGGCUCAGGCUGACCGAUAGCUGCCUGUAUAUUUGAGGAUGGCCUGGAGUUCCUGCCUUCACCUCCCAGAUGUUGGGGUCACAGGCAUGCUCAGUUACUUUGGGUUUCGAUUUUCAGUUUUCUUUUUUCCUCUUUUGGAAAGAGGAUCUCAAAGAUGUAGCCCAGACUACAGGUACCCAUGGUGCUGCAUUAGUUUAAAAGGUGAGAUCUCAACCCUUGGGAGGUACAACAGUCAAUCAGUCAAUCAAUUAUCAAUAAAUCAGUGUGAUCCUCAGUGUACCCCGGACAUUUUAAAUUUAACUAAUUGAAUGUGUGGGUGUUCUGCUGCAUAUAUGCAACAGGCCAGAAGAGGGCAUCAGAUCCCCUUAUAGAUGGUUGUGAGUCACCAUGUGAUUGAAGGGCUGGGAAUUGAACUCAGGACCUCUGGAAGAGCAGUCAGUGCUCUUAACCGCUGGACCACCUCGCCAGCCCUAGCAACACUAGCUUUUAAUACUCUUCAAAUGAUUCCAACGUCCAGGCAAGAACCCUGAUCCUCCCAGAACUUCUCGAAGUUUAGCGUGUGCAGGAAAUCAGCUGGUCUGGUACAGCUGUUUGACAUCUGCAGUUCUACUGAAUCCACAGGUGAUGCCCACGACCACACCUGGGAUGAUAUUGUCCCUGUUUAUGUUCCUGUCCUUGUUCCCUCCAAUGACACCGUGGGCAAGCGUUGUCCUCCCGCUCUGUUUUCAUGGGCAUAUCACCUGCCACUUGAAUUCUCAUUGGAUGCUGUGGGUCUGAAUCAGAUAGACAAUCCAAGAGGCUAUCCUGCUCCCGCGGGUAGCCAAGAGGCUUUGUAGCCCAGACUACAUGUACCCAUUGGGGUUGUUUUUUUUGGUUUCUUGGUUUUUUUGGUUUCUUGGUUUUUUUUUUAGUUUCAUAUUUUUAUUUUCUUCUAUAUAACAGAGUUGAAUAUGCUUUUUUUCUUACUUAUUCACUUUACAUCCCACUCAUUGAUCCUCUCCCAGUCACCCCUUCCUGCAAUCCUUCCCUCCAUCCCUGCUCCCCUUCCCCUCUGAGCGGGUGGGGGUCCCCCUGAUAAUUCCCCUACUAGCACAUCGAAUCUCUGUGGGGCUAGGUGAAUCUUCUUCCACUGAGGCCAUACAAGGUAGCCCAGCUAAAAGACUAUGUCUCAUGGACAGGCAACAGCUUUUGGGAUAGCCUCUGCUCCAGUUGUUGGGGACUUACAUGAAGACCAAGCUGCCAAUCCAGCCUGUGUAUACUCUACGGUUGGUGGUUCAGUCUCUGAAACCCCCCAAGGGUCCAGGCUAGUUGACUCUGUUGGUCUUCCUGUGGAGUUCCUAUCCCCUUUGGAGACCAAAAUCCUAUUCUUUCAUAAGAGUCCCCAGGCUCUGUCCACUGUUUGGUUGUGGAUGUCUGCCUCUGUCUGAAUUAGCUGCUGGGUAGAGCCUUUCAGGACAGCCAUGCUAGAUUCCUGUCUGCAAGUAUAACAGAGUAUCAUUAAUAGUGUCAAGGAUUGGUGCUUGGCCAUGGGAUAGGUCUCAAGUUGGGCCGGUUAUUGCUUGGCCAUUCCCUUAGUCUCUGCUCCAUCUGCUGUCCCUGCAUUUCUUGUAGACGGGAUACAUUUUGGGUUGAAUGUUUUGUGGAUGGGUUGGUGUCACUAUUGGAAGAGGCCUUUUUUUUUUUUUUUUUUUUUUUUUGGUUUUUCCGAGACAGGGUUUCUCUGUAGCCCUGGCUGUCCUGGAACUCACUUUGUAGACCGG